AGCAAGCUGCUUCCUGCAUCAGCGCCCUUGUUUUGCUUGUGCUAUUUGUGUCUGCUUCUAACAGCUGGCCCCAGCCUGGCAGCCCCUAGCUCUGAGGAUUAUCCAAUUAUCCCAUUAGCCCAGCAUGUCCUUCCUUCCUCCAGAGCUAUUAGCUCCCCAUCUCCCUCUCCCUCUCUCUCUCCCUGGGCUUGUCCAUAGCCUCCCUUGCUCCUUCCCUAGCCAGGCCUAGAGCUGGGUGGGUCAGCCCACAGUCAAAUAGACUCAGAGAAUACCAGAGCUGGAAGCGAUAUGUAUCCACUGCUUCAUCAUUUUGCAGGGAAGGAAACCCAAAGUCACAUGACCAGUUAAUGGCAGCAGAGAACUAAAACCCAGGUCUCUCGACCCAGUCAGUGUGCCUUACCAAGUGUUGCUAUGCUUCGCCCUAGGAUGGAGGAGAUACCAUCCCCACUCCUCUCUCUGGGAUUCAAAUUUAUAGUCUUGGUAGGAAAAUAGAACAUACACUGGUGAAAACCAGCACAUUAUUCAGGCGUUAAGUCAUAACUUAGCAGCAGAAGAGAUGUCAUCAGAAGCAGGUAACAAACUUCUGGUGCGUGGGACAGGCAUGCAUCUAAAGGCGCUCAGGAAGGGGAAAAGAGGAUUUCAGCAAAGUCUCCCUCCAUCUUCAUGGAAGAGACGGCUCUUCAGGUGGUCCCUGAAGCAUGGGAAUUGUCUAAAGUAGGGGAGUGACAGCAUCCCAGGCAAAGUGGCCUGCCUGAGAGACAAAGGCAGGGAAUGGGGUAAGAGGAUGGUAGACAGUUCAGUUUGGCACAGUGAGGAGCAGGGUAGUGGGUAGGAAAGUGGGUGGUCAGAGACAGGCUGGAGGGCAAAGCUGUGUCCUUGAAUGGCCACAGAAAGAAGGUGGACUUGAUCUGCUGCAUAUUUAGGGUCCACUAAAUGUUUUGGAGCAAGGGAGGGACAUGGCUGAUGCUGUGCUUUGGAGAUAUUAAUCUGACUGCUUGGGCUGAAUAGAUUGCGGUAAAAGAGAUCAACAAAGAGGUCUGUUUGGAGUGUAUUCAGGUUGGUAGAGAUGAUAGUGCCUCCGCCAAGACCAUGACUUUGAGGGGUUACUGAGGGGUAGAGUGGAUGGAACAGAUUCCAAAGAUGUUCAGAAAGAAUUAACAGAAUGCAAUAGAUUGGAUUUGGGAAGAUAAGGAGAAGAGCUCCUACUAAUAGGAUUAGGGAAGUAAGAAGUGGCCACAGGAAGUAUGGGGUAGGAUGGAGGAAGUGGAUGAGGACCCUCCCCAGCUUCACCCUCUGGCACUCCUUGGGUGAGAGCAUUUUGUAAAGUUGGCAGAGUUUGCUUAACCCUGGGCUGCAGGAUGCCUUCUCUACCCUAUGUCUCAGCCCCUCCAGGCUUCUCUGCUGGAUGUCCACAUGUUGACCCAAUAAAUCAUCAUGGUACCCUCCCCAGAUGGCAAAUGUCCUUCACUUGGGGUAAUACUGCUGUCAUCUAAGGAGGAAUUUUUGGCCUUGGGGUGUAUUCUGUUAAUACAGGACUCUGGGCCUCUUUGAUGCCUUUCAAUCCAUACCAGGUAGUUGUCUCCCAGCUAUACUCAUACAUUUGAUGCAGGUAGUGACUUUUUAAUGUAUAUGUUGUCAUUCCCUCCUCCUAAUCCUCUGUCUUAUCCCACAUACCUGCUCUGGGCUUCCAUGAACUGAAAACUGAACUGAAGGCAAUUCUGGCCACAAAAGAUGAGCCAUCUUCACUAGCCUUGUGCCCUCGAAGUACAGAGAAGUCUCCUCAAGGCCCAUAAGGGGGUCCAGGCCUCUUCCAGGCCAGCAAGCACCUGAAUAUCCUGACAUGACUGUCCUUGGAUCACUGAAGACCCAGCCAUGAGUCUCAAAUUGUUGCAUCUUGGUGGCCUUUAACGUGAACUAGUUAUUCUGCUGAAGCUUCUGUGAGCCCAGUUGUGCCUUUUGGAAUAGCACAAUGCAAGCUGUUUCUCUCAUCUGAUCUGUUCACCAUAGCUCUCCCUAAGUCUUCUCCAACCUCAUGUCCUCCAGACAUUUUCAGUUUCUAGAUGCUCCCUGUCUUGAUCCCCUUCCUUUGGCCACUUGUUAAUUCGUUGAGUGUCAUUGGGAGGUUACCGUCUUGUUUGCAGGCACAAAAUGACAAACUCAUUUCAGUUUGUUCAUGAGCAGGUGGUGUUGAGAAAUGAGCAUGUCUCCUGCCUUGAGUGGGUACCUGGUGAGUCCCUGUAGCCUGGGACUCACUUCCUAGUAACUAGGAUGUCAGUGCAGCUUGAGGCUGCAGUUGCUUCUUUCCCAGCCUGUCCCACGGUGUUAGCCAGUGCUCAACUGAGUAACUGUAGUGUCCAUGUUGUUUUGACCUGAACUGAUAGUAGGCUGGGUCUCUCUAUCCUCCCACUCCUCCCUGCACAUUGGCUUUUUCUGAAAUUGAGCAGGCUUUUUUUUGGGUUUUUUUUUUUUUUUUUUUUUUUUUUUUUGAGAUGGAGUCUCGCUGUUGCUCAGGUUGGAGUGCAGUGGCGUGAUCUCAGCUCACUGCAACCUCUGCCUCCCAGGUUCAAGUGAUUCCCUUGCCUGAGCCUCCCGAGUAGCUGGGACUACAGGCAUGCACCACCACA
rnacentral:lncRNA from 1 species